rnacentral:lncRNA from 1 species
UCACUGAUGUGGGCCUGUGUCUCAUCUUGCCUCUUCAUUCUUGUAGCCAUUGCUAAUGCACAAGCACCUGCAGCCUCACCUUCUGUCUUGCCAACUCCCACGCCAGUUGCAGCCACACAGCCACCCUCAACUCCGGUCAUACCCGCACCUGCAACCACUCCUGUAGCAUCACCCUCUCCUAAAGUUUCGCCAGCUUCGAGCCCCACUGUCCCACCCCCUCAAGUUCCACCACCACCAAAUCCACCAGUCUCAGCUCCAGUGCAACCACCAGUGCUACCAUCGCCACCUGUUGCUUCACCUCCACCUCUGCCACCUUCCAUACCACCACCACAGGUAUCCCCAGCACCAGUCCAAGCACCACCACUGCCAGCACCAGCGCCCCCACCCCCAGUGCCCCCACCCCCCGUGCCAGCACCAGCGACCCCACCACCAGCGCCAGCACCAGCGCCUCCACCACCAGCGCCAGCACCAGUACCUGUACCUCCAACCCCAGCUCCAGCACCAGUACCAGUGCCCCCAGCCCCAGUCCCAGCACCAAUUAGCGAGCCACCGGCACCUGCACCAGCCCCUACCAAGCACAAGCACAGGAGAAGGAGACACAAGCACAAGAAGCAUCAUCAUCAUGCACCAGCACCUGCACCAGUUACCCCAAGCCCCCCCGCACCACCUACAGUCCCUGAGGCUGAGGAAACGGCACCAGCUCCAUCACCAAACUUGGUAAUGUGUUCAGUCAGCUAAAAUAAUUAAUUUCUCAACUUCCAGUUUAGUUUCUGAAUGAAGCAUAUGCUUUUGAAAAGACAGAGUAAUCAAAUAUCAUCCAUCUCAUUUGAUCAUAUCAAAAUGUUUUAAAUGACUUUUUCCUCUUUUUGGCAACAGA